GAGGAUGAACAGCCACACUGGGACUGAGACACGGCCCAGACUCCUACGGGAGGCAGCAGUGGGGAAUAUUGGACAAUGGGGGAAACCCUGAUCCAGCAAUGCCGCGUGUGUGAAGAAGGCCUGAGGGUUGUAAAGCACUUUCAGUGGGGAGGAGGAUUGACAGGUUAAGAGCUAGUUAAUUGGACGUUACCCACAGAAGAAGCACCGGCUAACUCCGUGCCAGCAGCCGCGGUAAUACGGAGGGUGCGAGCGUUAAUCGGAAUUACUGGGCGUAAAGGGUGCGUAGGUGGUCAAUUAAGUUAGAUGUAAAAACCCUGGGCUUAACCUGGGGCUGAGAUUUAAUACUGGUUGACUGGAGUAUUGGAGAGGGUAGUGGAAUUUCCGGUGUAGCGGUGAAAUGCGUAGAGAUCGGAAGGAACACCAGUGGCGAAGGCGGCUACCUGGCCAGAUACUGACACUGAAGCACGAAAGCGUGGGGAGCAAACA
rnacentral:rRNA from 1 species